rnacentral:lncRNA from 1 species
CAAAAGCACAUAUCUUCUCUGUCCGAGGUUCAUUUGGGAUGAUCUUGAUCUCGUUGGACUCCAUUUUUCGCCACGGACAUCGCUAUGGGCUCAAUAUGGAUCGAAUCUCAAAACAUCAAAUCCUAACACUUAUCUUAGGGUUUGAGAAUGUUCAGUUUAUGUCGAGCAAUUACAGAUCAAUUAUCUUGGAUCCCAAUCCUAUAUAUAUUAUUUUGUAGGGU